GGUGUGCCUGGAGAUCCUGGGCCCAGAGGAGCCCUUGGGCCUCCAGGACAAAAAGGUGAUAAGGGAGAUGGAGAAGAAGGUUUUCCUGGGCUUCCUGGACGUCCUGGAGACCCUGGAGAUCGGGGCCCCAGAGGACCUCCAGGUGAACAAGGGAUCAAGGGAGACCGUGGGCAAUCUGGUGCACUUGGACCACCAGGAGAGAAGGGAGAGCGUGGAUUGCCUGGCCCUGAAGGAGAGAAGG